rnacentral:misc_RNA from 1 species
AAGUCGUAACAAGGUUUCCGUAGGUGAACCUGCGGAAGGAUCAUUAACAAAAAAUGAAAUUACUAUUAAUUUCUGUUAAUUAUUCACCCAAUAUAUGUGAAGUUUUGUAUAAAAGUGUGAUAACUCUGGUAUGGUCAUUUUUUCAGGUGUGAAAAAGUGGAUUGCCUGCCAGUAGUUUUUAUCUAAUAAACUACUGUUAUAUUUUGUGUGUGUAUAUUUGUUAUUCUGAUAAAGUUACUGAUGAAUUUCACCUGAAAUGAAUCAGAAACCGAGUCAAAAAUUAACUCAAUACAACUUGCAACAAUGGAUCUCUUGGCUCUU